CGUUGACGAAUGAUAGCACGUUUUAUUGUGCUGGCUUCUACAUCAAUACCGCCGCCUUAACAUGAGAGUGUGUGAUGUAGGGAGACAAGAGGGUAUGCGCAGAGAGAAAGCAAUUUCGUAACUGUCUGCGCAUUCUCUCUCUCUCUUAUUCGACACUACAUGGCAAUCACAGGAGAAGGCUAGACCAACAAGCAAGAGAGUGAGCUGCUGUUUUCUAAUUCAAUACGUUCUCGAAGUUUUUUUUUAAACUGCAUUUCAUAUACAAAAACUUCAAAGUGUUGGCUGUUUUAAACAGACCCUUGUCUGGGGAUUCAGGCAGAAUUUAAAAGGCAAGAUCGCACAGCAAACGGAACAAAAACAUGCCGAGGAUUAAAACAACAGUACGCAAAGAUCAACCUAGAUCGAGCGAGCUGUUGGUUAGACAUAGGACUGCAAACAAAGAACUAUCAAGAGCGCGCGCGGCUGAAAAUAUGAGGAGGAUGAGAGAAGAUCCAGAGUACCGGGCGAAAGAGAGAGAACGAAAUGCAGCUGCUCAGAGACGAAACCGUUUGAGCGAGGAGUAUAGGGCAAGAGAACGGGCAAAAAAUGCUCUAUCGAGAGCUCAGGCCAGAAUGGACGACGAGUACAGGCGGAAAGAGCGAGAAGAGAAUGCUAUCUCAAUGGCUAUCCUUCGACAAAAUGACGAGUAUAGGAGGAAGGAGAGAGUAAGAAACGCCAGGGCCAUGGCCCAGGCAAGAGCUAACAGAAAAUUCGAACAGGCAGAAGCCAGAAUGGCACUGAAACGUAACAAUGUUAACUCUAAUUCACAAUCAGAAACUAGUAGUAGAAGGUAUGGGCGACGGUCAACUCGGCAAAAUGGGGCUUUAAAUACGUAAACAUGGGAGAGAUCAUGGAAUUGGUUCAUUUAAAAACAAACAAAAAAAUGAAUGCAAGACAAUUGCAAA